rnacentral:lncRNA from 1 species
CCAUUGUCCUCUGGCAAGCUCUUUUCAUGAUUCUUCUUUGCACCCUAGGUGAACUCUUACUUGGGUCUGAUAAUUAGUUUUAUAUUUCAAUUUGACGGGGCUAAGGGAUGCCCAGAUAGCUGGGAGAACAUUAUUUUUGGUGUUGUCUCUGAAGGUGUUUCUGGAAGAGGUUAGCAUUUGAUUCAGGAAACUGGGUAUAGAAAAUCCUCCCUCCCUUGCGUGGGCAGGCAUCACCCAUGUGGGGUCCGAAUGGAACAAAAAGGCUAAGGAUGGGCAAAUUCUCUUUCUCUUCUUGAGCUGGGUGGCCAUCUUCUCCUGUUCUUGGGCAUUAGAGACACUGGACUCUAGAACUUAUACUAGUGGUCCCCUGGGUUCUCAGGACUUUGACGUUGGACUGAAUUAUGCCACCAGACUUCCUGGUUUUCCAGCUAGCUGACAGCAGGUCAUGGGACUUCUCAGCCUCCACAUGAGCCAACGCCUAUAGUAGAUCUCCUCCUAUAUAUCUACAACUCUGUCUCUGUCUAUAUCUCUGUGCACAACCAUAUCUAUCCUAUUGGUUCCAUUUCUCUGGAGUACCCUGACAAAUACACCGGAUCCCUUACCUUUUCUAGGUAGCUUUCUGACAUUAGCCAAAAGCUUCAUCCAACCAUCCAGCCAUCUAAUGUCCCUCCCGGCUCAGGCUGACUGAGGCUUAGCGGAAUCCCCCCUCCCCUGCCAUGGAGGAGGUGUGGGGAGGAGGUGAUUGCUUCUCCCCUGUGCUCCCUGUCUCCCCUCCUUGAGCUCCUGCUGCUUUUCAGGCUGGGGUAGGGGAGAGGGGAGGGAAAGGGGCCUAAGAGGGUCCUCCUUUGUACAGCAUCAGGGGGGCUCUGGUGAAGGUGAAGUUUGAUCAAGUCAUGCUCUCUCUUGUCCCAGAUCCUCAGUGGCUUCCCAUCACACUCAAGGAAACCACACCAUCUUCACAGUGGCUACCAGGCCCUCUGAUCCAGCUCCACUCACUCUCUGACCUCAUCUUCCAGCGCUUUCCCUCCCCCAGCUCACUCUGUUCCAGCCCUGUUGGUCUUCUAGCUGUUCCUCAAACACACCAGGAACCCUCCUGCUUUAGGAACAGUGCAUGCCUAGUCCCUCUGCCUGGAUGCUGUUCCCACUUUCACCCAUCCACGCAGCUAACUCCGUCACCAGCUCAGGUCCCAUGUCACCUCCUCAGAGGGGCCUUUCCUGAAGACUUUAUUGAAAACUGAUGCUCUUGUCCUUCCCAAUGCAGCACUUCCUAUUUUUCUCCAUCGCCUGUUUCACCUUCUAAUGCACCAUAGCAUUAACAUUCAUUUUGCUUCUUAUCUUUCAUUCCUAUGUAUUAAAGAAGACAAAGCAUCAAUUCCAACACCUUAUUGAUCGAAAGUGAACAAAGAUAAAAUAUUUCAACAAAAUUUGCAGAGAAAUAAGCAAAGUUGGACCAUUUAUGUAUAUGGCAUAAAUAAGUCAUAUUCAUUUGCCCUAAAAUCCUUCUAUGGCCACUGCCUACCUGUUUACAUUUAUUUCUUCUCUACGUACCACACACAAUCUCUCCGGGGCCACACACUGACUCAAGCACAUUAUAAGUAACCCUCUUCUCUAGUCCUUUUCUCAUACUGUUUUCCUCUCCUAAAAUGUCUUUCCUCUUUCUCUUAGCCUAUCCAAAGGCUACUUCAUUUUUGGUAGGCCUUCUCAAGACUUCUGUUCUCUAUGCAAUAAGGAAAGUGAACAAAUAUUCGUGAAGCACAAACUACAUACCAACAAAAAUAGUGACACAUUGUUUUGUUUAAUUCUCUCGACACACCAGUGAUUAAGUACUACUAGUCUAUCAAGUGCUCAUUGCACUCAAACAACUCGACCGGGGUCCUACGACUCUCAGGGAUGGCAUCCAAUGCAAUCUGAAAACCCCAAAUGCCACGUACAGUCUGUGUUGCCAGGAUGCUUCCACAACUACUCCAGCCCCAACUCUUAAUUUAUUCUUCCUCUGAACCAUUUGUCAUACCACAUACCUCUACCUCAUGAUGGUUUGAUUUGUGAUUUUUUUGACUUUAUGACAGUAUGAAAGUGAUACACAUUCAGGAGAAACAGUACUUUGAAUUCUGAAUUUUGAUCUUUUCCCCAAGCAGCCACGCCAUCAUGAGUGUAAACGACCAAUACACUUACAACGAUUCUGGACCCAGACAACCAUUCUGGUUUUCACUUUCAGUGCAGUGUUCAAUAAAUUACAUGAGAUCUUCAAUGUUUGAUUACAAAGGAGGAUUUGUGUUAGAUGACAGUGACCACCUGUAGGCUGAUGGAAGUGUUCAGAGCAUGUUGAAGGUAAGUGAGGCUAAGCUACAAUGUUUGGUGGGUUGAGUGUAUUCGGUGCAUUGCUCAUGCAUCAAGGAAGAUCUGUGUUCUCUUGAGCUUGUCUCUCUCAGUGCUGUUUAACUCUGCAUGUGCACCUGCUCUGCAGAGCUCAUGGCUGCGAUGCUUCCUGUUUCCACAGAACUAGCACAAAGCUCCUCUUUAACACGGACAGGAUGGCCAGACACCAUGACGGAAGCAGAAGAGGAGUGGCUAGUGAGCUGUAAGGAGAACUUUGAAAAAAUACCUUUGAGGUUUACAAUGGAGGAAAUAAUCUCUAAGUCCAAACAAGGCAGAGAAGAACAAUAAGAGAAGAAAUCAGAACGGCCAACUGGUUUCCUGAUUCAAAACAACAUCAUUUGUGCUUUUAAUCUACUCAAUACUGUGUAAUAACCUAUAUGGGAAAAGAAUCUGAAAAGGGAUGGAUUGUGUAUAUGUAGAAUUGAUUCACUUUGCUGUAUACCUACAACUAACACAACUUUGUAAGUCAAUUAUGCUCCAACAAACUUAUAUAAAAAAGAAAACAUAAAAUUACUUGGAAAUAAAAAGAUUGAAUAAGAGAUGAUGAAAUGGAAAGAGCAAGAAUAAAAUACUCUUUCCACAGUAUUUAUCUUUGAGAAAUGGAGAGAAAUUGCAUAACAUCUGAAGGGAGAACUCUUUAAGGACAUAAAGAACAUAAGAAGAAGAAGAAAGGCAGGAAAGAAAGUAAGGACAAAGUGAAGAAUAAGGAAAUAAAAAAGGAAGGAAGAUGAAAAGCUUGCAAUAAUAACAGGAUAAUAGGAUUUUUUGCUUGUUUUUAGAAUUCCAUGAGAAGUUUGUGAGGCUGUUAUGACUUAGGGUAGUGCUAAACAUGUGACCUUUUCAGCAGUUAAUAUCUCCCAAAUCUCUUUGCCUAACUUCUCCAAUUAAAAAGACUUGAAUUAUUUAAAUUUUCCUAAAACCAUUGUAUAUAAUAGAGUUUUCUUUUGUGUGUUUUUUUGUUUGUUUGUUUGUUUUUCUUUUUUGGCUGCCCCAUGGCAUGUGGAAUUCCCAGGCCGGGGAUCAGACCUGGAAUCCACUGUGCCUGGCCAGGGGUGGAACCUGCAUCCUGGUGCUGCAGAGAUGCCACUGGUCCUGUUGCACCACAGCAGGAAUUCCUGUAUGUUUGGUUUUUUUGCUUUUGUCUUUCAUAAGUCUGGAAAAGGGGAGUUCUGGCACAGUGAAGCAUUUGCCUUUGGUAUUUAGUGCUUCCUGGGAACUCAGGAAAAAGGUCACUGGCCCACAGAACAUCACAGAAAGCAAAGUCAAUAUCUGGGACCAUUCUGAGUACUGCCAAGGAGUGGGUGACCAAUCAUUUUUCCUUUUUUGGGGUGGGGGGCGCUGCACCUGUGGCAUAUCGAGGUUCCUAGGCUAGCGGUCAAACCAGAGCUGCAGCUGCCGGCCUACACGACAGCCACAGCAACGUGGGAUCUGAGCAGUGUCUGUGACCCACACUGCAUCUCAUGGCAUCACUGGAUCCUUAACACACUGAGCGAGGCCAGGGAUUGAACCCACAUUCUCAGGUUUCUUAUCGCUAAGCCACGAUGGGAGCUCCCAGUCAUCUUUGCUUUGAAUACCAAACACUCUUAGAAGAAGAAGAAGUGAGGUGUAGGAACAGAUCAUCCCUGAUGGGUGUGAUGUGCCAGUUGCCUUGUUUUUAAAGUAAUGGAGGCAAGAAACAUUUUGUAAGCCUGUGAUCUAUAACCUGGCAUCCAUACAGUGUAUUUAUGGGCCCUUGAGGGAUGGACGCCAAAUUCUGAUAUCAUUACCUCUUCAACACGGCAAAGGUUAAAGUGCUACACCUAAUGUAACUUCGCAGUUUUAUAUGGCAAAGAUGUUUGGGGUAUGUUCCUUAACGAUCGCGCUUUGAUUUAAAGAUACGGGCAGUAU